GUGCAGCAGGCGAGAAUACUUUACAAUGUGCGAAAGCACGAUAAGGGAACUCUGAGUGCCUCCUAAGGGAGGCUGGUUCAGGUGUCUAAAAAGCACCUGAAGGAAGGGCUGGGGUAAGACCGGUGCCAGCCGCCGCGGUAACACCCGGCAGCCCGAAGUCGGUAGGCCACGUUUAUUGGGGUCUAAAGCGUCCGUAGCCGGC
rnacentral:rRNA from 1 species